rnacentral:rRNA from 1 species
UACAGAGGGUGCGAGCGUUAAUCGGAAUUACUGGGCGUAAAGCGCACGUAGGUGGCGACGUAAGUCGGGUGUGAAAGCCCCGGGCUCAACCUGGGAAUUGCAUUCGAGACUGCAUUGCUGGAGUACGGAAGAGGAAGGCGGAAUUCCCGGUGUAGCGGUGAAAUGCGUAGAUAUCGGGAGGAACCCCAGUAGCGAAGGCGGCUCGCUGGGCCAUUCCUGACGCUGAGACGCGAAAGCUAGGGGAGCGAACAGG